rnacentral:rRNA from 1 species
GUCGAGCGGCAGCGGGAAGUAGCUUGCUACUUUGCCGGCGAGCGGCGGACGGGUGAGUAAUGUCUGGGAAACUGCCUGAUGGAGGGGGAUAACUACUGGAAACGGUAGCUAAUACCGCAUGACCUCGAAAGAGCAAAGUGGGGGAUCUUCGGACCUCACGCCAUCGGAUGUGCCCAGAUGGGAUUAGCUAGUAGGUGAGGUAAUGGCUCACCUAGGCGACGAUCCCUAGCUGGUCUGAGAGGAUGACCAGCCACACUGGAACUGAGACACGGUCCAGACUCCUACGGGAGGCAGCAGUGGGGAAUAUUGCACAAUGGGCGCAAGCCUGAUGCAGCCAUGCCGCGUGUGUGAAGAAGGCCUUAGGGUUGUAAAGCACUUUCAGCGAGGAGGAAGGCAUCACACUUAAUACGUGUGGUGAUUGACGUUACUCGCAGAAGAAGCACCGGCUAACUCCGUGCCAGCAGCCGCGGUAAUACGGAGGGUGCAAGCGUUAAUCGGAAUUACU